GCCGUUGUGGCGGAACUGGCAGACGCGCACCGUUCAGGUCGGUGUGGGAGCAAUCCCGUGCAGGUUCGAUUCCUGUCAGCGGCAUCA
rnacentral:tRNA from 1 species